UACGGGGGGGGCAAGCGUUGUUCGGAAUUACUGGGCGUAAAGGGCUCGUAGGUGGCCAACUAAGUCAGACGUGAAAUCCCUCGGCUUAACCGGGGAACUGCGUCGGAUACUGGAUGGCUGGAGCUCGGGAGAGGGAUGCGGAAUUCCAGGUGUAGCGGUGAAAUGCGUAGAUAUCUGGAGGAACACCGGUGGCGAAGGCGGCAUCCUGGACCGAAACUGACACUGAGGAGCGAAAGCCAGGGGAGCAAACGGG
rnacentral:rRNA from 1 species